ensembl:lncRNA
CUAGAGACCAGCUGCUGGCCUCGCCGCUAGAGGAUGGAGCUGGGGGCGGCCUACCCCAGAGGACUUAGGGGGCAUAACUGGAGCAAUGCCCACAGCUAGAACGGGCGUGGCGGGCAGAGCCGAGGGCUUCCAGAAGGAAGGGGUCAGCCUGUGACAGUUAUGUUAAUGAAAACCCAAAGGAGGUGUCUGCAUCCACGCCUGGACCAGGAGAUUAAAGGGAGCGAUGUCGUCUCUCUCCCCCGGGACUGGAGGUGCAGAGAAGCCCAGGGGUGGGCCCCUCGCUCAGCCUGCAUCCUCCGGAGUCACUUUUCCAGCAGAAGGCAGAGCUGUGCGAUCCAGUCAGAGGCCCUGAGCUUGCACCCUGCCCAGUGCCACAGAGGCGCUCCGAGCGCCAACCCCCUCGGACGCAGU